rnacentral:rRNA from 1 species
AAGGAUCAUUAUCGAGUUUUGAACGGGUUGUAGCUGGCCUCUCACGAGGCAUGUGCACGCCUGGCUCAUCCACUCUUAACCUCUGUGCACUUUAUGUAAGAGAAAAAAAUGGUGGAAGCUUCCAGGAUCUCGCGAGAGGUCUUUGGUUGAACAAGCCGUUUUUCUUUCUUAUGUUUUACUACAAACGCUUCAGUUAUAGAAUGUCAACUGUGUAUAACACAUUUAUAUACAACUUUCAGCAACGGAUCUCUUGGCUCUCGCAUCGAUGAAGAACGCAGCGAAAUGCGAUAAGUAAUGUGAAUUGCAGAAUUCAGUGAAUCAUCGAAUCUUUGAACGCACCUUGCACUCCUUGGUAUUCCGAGGAGUAUGCCUGUUUGAGUCCAGGUAUUCCAACCCCUAAAUUUUUGUAAUGAAGGUUUAGCGGGCUUGGACUUGGAGGUUGUGUCGGCCCUUGUCGGUCGACUCCUCUGAAAUGCAUUAGCGUGAAUCUUACGGAUCGCCUUCAGUGUGAUAAUUAUCUGCGCUGUGGUGUUGAAGUAUUCAUGGUGUUCAUGCUUCGAACCGUCUCCUUGCCGAGACAAUCAUUUGACAAUCUGAGCUCAAAUCAGGUAGGACUACCCGCUGAACUUAAG